ACGAACGCUAGCGGGAUGCCUCAAACAUGCAAGUCGCACGCGAAUUGGUAGCAAUACCAUAGUAGAGUGGCGCACGGGUGAGUAACACGUAACUAACGUACCCUUUCGCUGGGGAUAACUCCGGGAAACCGGAGCUAAUACCGAAUGAUCUGUCGGAGUCUGCGGACUCUGCCGGUAAAGCCGUAAGGCGCGAAAGGAUCGGGUUGCGGCCGAUUAGCUAGUUGGUGAGGUAAUGGCUCACCAAGGCGACGAUCGGUAGCUGGUCUGAGAGGACGAUCAGCCACACUGGAACUGGAACACGGUCCAGACUCCCACGGGAGGCAGCAGUUGGGAAUAUUGGACAAUGGGGGCAACCCUGAUCCAGCAAUCCCGCGUGAGUGACGAAGGCCUUCGGGUCGUAAAGCUCUUUCAGCACAGAAAAAGUCUACAUGUAUAGUGUAGGUUGAUUGUAUGUGCAGAAGAAGCACCGGCUAACUCCGU
rnacentral:rRNA from 1 species